rnacentral:misc_RNA from 1 species
CUCAAAGAGCUUAUUCAUCACAGAAUUCAUCACGUCAAGUUCUUCCUUAGUCAUCCCGCCCCCUUGUUCUUCCUGAACAGGAAUUUGCUUUUCUUCAGCAUGAUGGAGUGGACCAGAAUGCUCUUCACAAUCACAAAAAUGUGUAGGAAGAGAAGGAACUUCAACACGCCUGAAACUGUACUUGUGCUUGCCAGUUCCACUGAAUGGUAGUGAUUUCACCUUCUGUAAUCUCGGGAAAAAAAUGUUAAGUUGCUUCUUUCUUG